UACGUAGGUGGCGAGCGUUGUCCGGAUUUACUGGGCGUAAAGGGCGUGCAGGCGGUUUGUUAAGUGCAGGGUGAAAGCUCCCGGCUCAACUGGGAGAGGUCCUUGCAUACUGGCGAACUCGAGGGAGGCAGAGGAAAGUGGAAUUCCCGGUGUAGUGGUGAUAUGCGUAGAUAUCAGGAGGAACACCGGUGGCGAGGGCGGAUCUCUGGGACGGUACCGACGCUGAGACGCGAAAGCGUGGGGAGCGAACAGG
rnacentral:rRNA from 1 species